rnacentral:lncRNA from 1 species
GUGCGCAGGCGCUUGCGGCUUCGCGGGGCUGACCGUGCGCUUCGCCUGCGGGGUCGUGCUGGGGCGGCGGGUACGCUAUUUGAAGAACAGGUUUCCAUGCUCUUAGAGGAGCAUCAGAAAAUGAACAAACCCCAGAAGUCCAGAAAUUAAGAGACCUGAUAAAGGGAAGCCAGGAAAAUCGAGAUGCAUAUUUGUGGUACACUUCAGUUCUCAGUAACAACACACUGACUAAGAAGAGGGAAUACGUUUUUGGGAAAAACCUUAAUCUGGGUGCAAACCCAGUUUCUUCAAGAAAAAUAGCCUGUUAGUAUGACUCAUGUGGAAUGAGUUUGAAUACGUUUCAGAAUCAAGUAUUAGUGAUAAAAAUUAUGCCAGUAAUAACACUGAUGAAAUUAAUAUAAGUGAGAAGUUGCCUUUUGAUAGUAAUCAGGAAAACACUCAUACUGGGAAGAAAUCUGUUGUAUAUAACCAAAGUGGGAAGUCACCAAGUCAUAGUGAGGACCUUAUUAAGGAACAGGAAAUUCAAGCUUUAGCCCACCUUUGGAAGCUAAUGAACAUGGAAAUCCCUUCCUUGAGAAGGUAGCCACCAUCACACAAGAGACAGCUCAAACAAGAGAGAAACCCUGUGAUUAUAAGGAGCAUGGGGAAAAUGUCAGUGCCACAUCAGCUCCCAGAGUUCAUCAAGAAAUUCACACAAGGAAGAAUCACUCUGAAGUUAACGAGUGUGAGAAGUCAACCUUCUUCAAACAUCAGAAAGUUAAUACAGGGGUGAAAACCCAGGGAGCUAAUGAAAAUGAGAAUUUCAGUCACAAGUCACAUCUCAGUCUGCCUCAUAGAACUCACACAGUAGAGAAAACUUUUGAAUGUAGUCAUGGCAAGAAAUCUUUUUGCCAGGAGUCCCACUUCACUGAGCAUCACAGGACAUGCACAAGAGAGAAACCAUGUGAAAGUAAUAAAUAUGGGAAAACCUUCCAGAAAUGACAACUUACCAACUCUCAGAUAAUGCAUCGAGAAGAGAAACCCCAUGAAUCUGGUAAAACCCUUGUGAAGUCAGCCCUCACUGAUCACCAGAUAAGUCAAUCAGAAAAGAAGCUUUAUGUAUGUAGUGACUGUAAGAAACGUUUUUGUCAUAGCUCAGUCCUAAGAGUCCAUCAGAGUAUUCACACAGGGAGAAACCCUAUCAGUGUAAUGGGAAAUCCUAAGCAAAAUCAAACUUCAGUCAUCAUCAGAGAACUCACACAGGGGAGAAACCAUAUGAAUGUAAGGAAUGUAGGAAAUCCUUCCAUGUGAAACCAAACCUCACUAAACAUCAGAAAACACAUAUAGGGGAGAAACCUUUCAAAUGUACUGCGUGUGGAAGAACUUUCUUCCAGCAGUCACAAUUUGCUGAUUAUUAGAGAAAACACACAU